rnacentral:rRNA from 2 species
UACGUAGGAUGCAAGCGUUGUCCGGAAUUAUUGGGCGUAAAGCGAACGUAGGCGGCUUCUUAAGUUUGGUCUUAAAGACCGGGGCUCAACCCCGGGAAUGGACUGAAUACUGGGAGGCUGGAGGAUGUCAGAGGAAAGUGGAAUUCCCAGUGUAGCGGUGAAAUGCGUAGAUAUUGGGAGGAACACCAGUGGCGAAAGCGACUUUCUGGGGCAUUCCUGACGCUGAGGUUCGAAAGCUCGGGGAGCAAACAGG